AAAUCUGACGAUUCGGGUCGGAUUCUUGGUUAGGCUCUUCACCCGAUAGUAUUAUUGCUGACGGGUUUCCCCAUUCAUAGUCCAACAUUUUGUCGAAGUCGCAAACUUUCAAGACAAACCCCCUUUCUCCCCCUUGUUCCGGCGAGGUAACGGCUUCUUUUUUUUUAAUUUGUCCGUAUGAUUGCAACUAAUAAUCUGUCAACAACAAACAUCAAAGAAUAAUAGAUAAAACAGACAAAGGAAGCAAAGAGUUAUAGAGAGAGAGAGAGAGAGAGAGAGAUGGGAAAUGUGUCAGCUUUCACAAGAGAUAAUUGAAGGGAAAGAAGAACAAGAAAGUUUGUUUUUGGGGUUUUAAUGGUUAGCUUUUCCGAGGGUGCUAUGAGAGGUUAGUAGCAUAGCUUUUCGGGGAGGGGACAUGUCGGUGUUCAAGGUGGUUUCAGCCCCCGAAGAAAAAGAAUAAAAAUGAAAAAGAGAGCAAAGAGUUAAACCCCAAAACAACUCACCUUGCACGUCUUGGAUUGCGAAUUUCGAAACCCUGAACUCUACUUGCCAUUCCCCAGAGAGUUCAACUCUUCAAUUCUUCAUUUCCCCACUCUGCUGGCAAGUUCAUUAAGCCCCCUCUCUCUCUCUCUCUCUCCACUCUAUCUAUCUAUCUAANCCCACCUCUCUCUCUCUCUCUCCACUCUAUCUAUCUAUCUAAUCUUUAAAGCUCACGCAUUUUUCCCUCCCUCUUAAAAGCCAACUUGAGUUAGCUCUUUCUGUCUCUCUCUCUCGCUCUCUCUCGCUCUCUCUCUCUCUCUCUAGGUGGAGGACUGUCUGUGAGAAACUGGGUUAUGAGGCGGCUUGCGCAGAAGUGAUUGGUGACUAUGGACAAUGUGGAAGACUGAGAAAAUUACCCUUUAACCCACGUGAUGGCAACGUAUUUGUGGGGGCAGCUAAAACACAAAUGAAUAAACAGUGCAAUGAAAUUCCGUGUAAAAAGGUGGGAAAAUGGAGGGGAGAGCGACUCAGAGAGAGAGAGAGAGAGAGAGAGAGAGAGAAAGAGAGGGUUUGGCCUUAAUCUUUCGUUUUCUUUCUUCCCGUCUUUCCUUAGUCCAACUAGUUAGGGAAUUGGGGAAGAGAUGGGGGCAUCUGUUUGGGGGUUCAGUCUCCAGACAGUAACGCGAAUAACCGUGUGGUUGGUUUUUCUCUCUGCAGUGAAACGCCACGCGGUGAUCUUUAAACCUCAGGGUCCCACUUUACCCGCCUGCUUUGAUCAAUUGCCCCCAGAAGCCAGAAGAAAGGGUCAUCAUUUCUCUUUUGCUUGUUAAAACUUUACCCCCAACCCCACUGUUGCAUAUCGACAGGACGAAUAAGGCUAGUUUUUAUCUUGGUUUAAUUUAAUAUUGGAAUCUCCAUAAAGAUUGUACUUAGAUUCAUAUGAAUGUCAAUUCCAGCUCGUGAGUGUUACUUGUUCAACAGCAACGGUCUGUUUCCCAUUUCUAUCUAGUAAUAUCUAUUUGCAC
rnacentral:lncRNA from 1 species